GUUCACAAGUGGAUGGGACUGAGUCAACACUGGUGCACUUGAUCACGGCACAGAGAUGAUGACCUGGGUUCAUCAGUAAGACAUGGUGGAGUUGGCAGUGAGAACCUCCAGGCUGGGGAUUUUUGCAUAAAGGAAGAAUGGAGCUGCUAGCAACCCACAGCUUUGGAAUUUGCUCCCCCAAAUAGUCUGAAUUUGAUAGCCUUGGAAUACAAAAGGCUGGGAGAGAGGUUAAAAGAACGGGGAAUUGCUUCAGGAGGAGUGAGAUUUAUCUAUCUAAGGUACUUACAUGGUCCUUUGUACUCUGAACAAUAAAAGCCUAAUGAAGCUAAAUGAAGAGGCAAUGAAGAACUUGCUAAUGCAAGACAACUAAUGAGAGUCAUCACUGUCGAUGGAUAUUCUACACUCACUAACAUGCAGCUAAUGAAAAUGAACACUCAAGCACUCUGUGAAGACAUACCAUGGCUCCACCCAGACCGUGAAGAUUAGGGACAGGCCAAAGAAGUCAAAACCCAAACCAUGAUUUGUUUGGAGCCAGGAUCUAUUUGAUCUGAACUCUGAAAAUUCAUGAGGGUCCCAGGAAGAGGUUCUGGGCCUGGCCCAUCUCCAGUUGAGAGAUUAGAGCAAGAUGCAAUGUAUUA